rnacentral:tRNA from 1 species
GGGGCCGUAGCUCAGUUGGGAGAGCGCCUCGUUCGCAAUGAGGAGGUCAGCGGUUCGAUUCCGCUCGGCUCCACCA